UACGGGGGGGGCAAGCGUUGUUCGGAAUUACUGGGCGUAAAGGGCUCGUAGGCGGCCAACUAAGUCAGACGUGAAAUCCCUCGGCUUAACCGGGGAACUGCAUCUGAUACUGGAUGGCUUGAGUUCGGGAGAGGGAUGCGGAAUUCCAGGUGUAGCGGUGAAAUGCGUAGAUAUCUGGAGGAACACCGGUGGCGAAGGCGGCCAUCUGGAUCAACACUGACGCUGAGGCACGAAAGCGUGGGGAGCAAACAGGG
rnacentral:rRNA from 1 species